UGGUUGGUCAACUUUUUAAGUGCAGUUGUACUUUUUAUAAGCUAUUGUUCUGUAUUAAGUAUUCUUCUGUUGUGGAUUUACCGAAAUGUCUUUACUUUUAAUGGAGAUUGUAAUAUGUUUAAAUACUUAAAGUUUGUCAGUAAAAUGGAAUUUUGGUGUACGUAUGGUGAGCGUUUGGAAGUUUCACAUUGAUUAUAUAGAAAUAAAAGUUCGCUGGCAGCAGUACACAUUCGUCACAGGUGUCACUCUCGCGGCUUGAUUUGACGUGCGUGGUUCAACAUAUUGAAUCUCCGUUACAUUUCAUCAUCAUUACAGCCUUAGCUAUCAUAGUGGAUGAACGUCGUUCAGGUUCCGCGAUGGCUGAUGUUAAUUCUACAGAUUCCAUGUUUUGCGAUAUUUGUAGCGUAUCGUACUAUAUGUUACACAACCGUGAUCACGGGCAGACGACAUGAGAAAAUCUCAUCUCGUCAGUAGUACUUUAAGUCAUGUCUAAUCAACAAGUCAUAAAUUCUUUCUUUAAAAUUAAAUUUAACAAUAAAUAUAUCAUUAAUAUUUUAAUGUGGAUUUGUGUAAAAUGUAGUACCAAGUUCGUUUUAAUGACGGUAUAGAAGUCAUCAAUUCCAAUGUUAUCGCCUAGCGGAGGCAGUGCGUCGUAAAUCAAUCAUUCAGAAUAUCUGACAAAUGCAGAUGUCGCGCGGUUCAAGCUACACGUUCCUAUCAAAUCUCGUAGCCGUGCCUCUGAUGUUUAAGUAGGCAUCAAUUUAUAGAAAUAUUAACUGUGACCCAGACAUCGUCUGUUUAUUUUUUUCUAGACAUUGCGCUGAAAUUCACCUAAUUGAUUCAGAUAUUCGUUAAAAACUUUGUUUUUUUUUUUUAUAUUUUUUCAUAAACAAUAAGGAAACGAACAAUGAAAAAUUUUUAUUUAAAAUAUAUUUAUUUCAAAGAAAUGAUAAUUUAAAAUUAAUUAAUAGAUAUAUGUAUAAAUAAAAUUUAAACGUAUUUUCAAAUGUUAUAAACAAUAGACGUUUACUGUCAAUACACUUGAUGAGGCUGUGAAGUAAAAUUAAUUAUAAUGAAAAUAUAAACGUUAAUUUCAAAAAUCGAAUUCCGUGUUUGAAAUUAAGAAAAUUAUGUGAAGGUUGUCGAUGGCUCACAAUUUCCGACGUUCCGUUCGCUGCAAACGUGAUAUUUCCCGUAUUAAUCUACUACAACAUCCGCGAAUAAUUGGGUGAGGUUCAUCGCUGGCAAGAGUGCACUGUUAUUUGAUAUUGCAGUAUUUAUAUUUUAACAUAAUUUCUAUCUCCCUUACUCACAUAUUCUCUAACCUUCAUUAUGUUAUUUUAUUUUUAAUUACCAGUAUGAUAUCCUCAUUAAAUCAAUCCAUAAGUACAGCUUGUUGUUAUUAUUAAUUGUAUAUAAAAAAAAAAAAAAUUAUGAUAAUACAAAAUGGUGAUAAAAAAAAAUCGAUGUUUGUAAAAUGUCCGUAACAUGACUGUGGUCAUCCUAUUCAUCAGUAAAGCCAACGUAUAAAAACAGCGAACGUAAUCAACUCCGGUUUUAAUUAUCGGCAGAUUCCGUCCGUGCUUUCACGUGGCCGAAUAAAAAAAAAACACACAUGUAAAUUUCAAUUGGACGUUAUUUGGCAUUUUCAUAACGACUCAGUCUGCAUUUCCCUUGUGAUAUCGAUUUACGCUUCAAUAAUUCAGUAUCAACAUUUGCUAACAUCUAUUUUCGAUUGGAAGUACAUUUCGCGAUAGGUAUAUUUCGUAGUUUGGUUCCCGUUACCGCUAGUAAUAAAUAAUGUUAAACAUUUUUUUGAGCUUUCUUUUUUAUUCACAUAAUAAUUAAAUUUUCCA